rnacentral:rRNA from 1 species
UACGGAGGAUGCAAGUGUUAUCCGGAAUCACUGGGCGUAAAGCGUCUGUAGGUGGUCAAAUAAGUCAACUGUUAAAUCUUGAGGCUCAACCUCAAAAUCGCAGUCGAAACUAUUAGACUAGAGUAUAGUAGGGGUAAAGGGAAUUUCCAGUGGAGCGGUGAAAUGCGUAGAUAUUGGAAAGAACACCGAUGGCGAAGGCACUUUACUGGGCUAUUACUAACACUCAGAGACGAAAGCUAGGGUAGCAAAUGGG